rnacentral:rRNA from 1 species
UACGGAGGGAGCUAGCGUUGUUCGGAAUUACUGGGCGUAAAGCGCGCGUAGGCGGUCUAUAAAGUUGGGGGUGAAAUCCCGGAGCUCAACUCGGAACUGCCUCCAAAACUGCUAGACUCGAGUUCGGAAGAGGUAAGUAGAAUUCCCAGUGUAGAGGUGAAAUUCGUAGAUAUUGGGAAGAAUACCAGUGGCGAAGGCGGCUUACUGGUCCGAUACUGACGCUGAGGUGCGAAAGCGUGGGGAGCAACAGGAUUAAGAUACCCGGGUAGUCC